UACGGAGGGUGCUAGCGUUGUUCGGAAUCACUGGGCGUAAAGGGCGUGUAGGCGGUCAAGUAGGUGGGAUGUGAAAGCCCCCGGCUCACCCGGGGAUCUGCAUCCCAAACUGCUUGGCUUGAGUAUGGGAGAGGAUAGGGGAAUUCCUGGUGUAGCGGUGAAAUGCGUAGAUAUCAGGAGGAACACCGGUGGCGAAGGCGCCUAUCUGGCCCAAUACUGACGCUGAGGCGCGAAAGCUAGGGGAGCAAACGGG
rnacentral:rRNA from 1 species